rnacentral:rRNA from 1 species
AACGAACGCUGGCGGCAUGCCUAACACAUGCAAGUCGAACGAGACCUCCGGGUCUAGUGGCGCACGGGUGCGUAACGCGUGGGAACCUGCCCUUAGGUUCGGAAUAACUCCCCGAAAGGUGUGCUAAUACCGGAUAAUGUCUUCGGACCAAAGAUUUAUCGCCUUUGGAUGGGCCCGCGUUGGAUUAGCUAGUUGGUAGGGUAAAAGCCUACCAAGGCGACGAUCCAUAGCUGGUCUGAGAGGAUGAUCAGCCACACUGGGACUGAGACACGGCCCAGACUCCUACGGAAGGCAGCAGUGGGGAAUAUUGGACAAUGGGCGAAGGCCUGAUCCAGCAAUGCCGGGUGAGUGAUGAAGGCCUUAGGGUUGUAAAGCUCUUUUACCCGGGAUGAUAAUGACAGUACCGGGAGAAUAAGCUCCGGCUAACUCCGUG